GACAGAGGCCUCAAGCGUUAGGCGGAAUCACUGGGCUUAAAGCGUGUGUAGGCGGACUUCUAAGUGCCUUGUGAAAUCCCACGGCUCAACCGUGGAAACUGCUGGGCAUACUGGGGAGUCUUGGGCCAUUCAGGGGCAACUGGAACAAGCGGUGGAGCGGUGAAAUGCGUAGAUAUCGCUUGGAACGCCGAAGGUGAAAACAGGUUGCUGGGGGAUGUGCCGACGCU
rnacentral:rRNA from 1 species